GAGGAGGAGACUGCUGAGCUGUGCAGUGUGGUAGUCUGACAGUUAUAGUUCGGAUACAAACUUAAAACAAACAGUUUGCAGUUAAAAUUACCGUUUAUCAUCCACAGUUCAAGCUGGAAAUAGUUGAGUUGAAGUGCCCCACCUGUCCGGACUGAGAGCCAUCAUAUUGUUGUCCCAAACAGGUUGGAGUGAGAUCGGUCAGGUUUUUUUCUUUAUGCUGGAUUAUUCCUGAGGUGGAUUCCUCCGGUGAUUGAUGGCGAGCCUUCCCACCUGGACUUAGAGAAAGAACUGGACUCAUUCUUUUCCAUUUGGAGUCCUGCUGCACCCUGCGGUGUGGUAGGCCUGUUUCACUCACAUCUUCACGCACAGUUGGUUAUGCACGGGACCAUUGACUUACAUUUUUUCACUUUUAUUGUUUCAUUCUGGGAUUUAAGACCUUAUUUUUUUUACAAGAUUUAUUUCGGACAUUAGAACAGACCACUGUGGUGGACAUUCUCCUCAGGUGAAUGAUGAUGAGUCAGACCUGAAUUGGAACUGAAUUUAAUCUGAAUUGUUUAUUACAAAUUUGAAUUCAUAUUAAGAGGGUGCACCCAAGAUAUUUAGAACUGAGAAUUAGAACUUGGCCAAGUAUUGCUAUUAUUUUAUUUCAUUGUUGAUUUUAUUGUGUGUAUUUUAUUUUCAUGAUUUUGU